UACGUAGGGUGCGAGCGUUAAUCGGAAUUAUUGGGCGUAAAGGGUGCGUAGGCGGUUUGGUAAGUCUGAUGUGAAAUCUAUGGGCUCAACUCAUAGUCUGCAUCGGAAACUGCCGGGCUUGAGUGUGGGAGAGGUGAGUGGAAUUCCUGGUGUAGCGGUGAAAUGUGUAGAGAUCGGGAGGAACACCGGUGGCGAAGGCGGGUCUCUGGGCAUCUCCUGACGCUGAGGCGCGAAAGCGUGGGGAGCAAACGGG
rnacentral:rRNA from 1 species